GAUGAACGCUGGCGGCGUGCCUAAUACAUGCAAGUCGAGCGAACAGACGAGGAGCUUGCUCCUCUGACGUUAGCGGCGGACGGGUGAGUAACACGUGGAUAACCUACCUAUAAGACUGGGGUAACUUCGGGAAACCGGAGCUAAUACCGGAUAAUAUAUUGAACCGCAUGGUUCAAUAGUGAAAGACGGUUUUGCUGUCACUUAUGGAUGGAUCCGCGCCGCAUUAGCUAGUUGGUAAGGUAACGGCUUACCAAGGCAACGAUGCGUAGCCGACCUGAGAGGGUGAUCGGCCACACCGGAACUGAGACACGGUCCAGACUCCUACGGGAGGCAGCAGUAGGGAAUCUUCCGCAAUGGGCGAAAGCUUGACGGAGCAACGCCGCGUGAGUGAUGAAGGUCUUCGGAUCGUAAAACUCUGUUAUUAGGGAAGAACAAAUGUGUAAGUAACUAUGCACGUCUUGACGGUACCUAAUCAGAAAGCCACGGCUAACUACGUG
rnacentral:rRNA from 1 species